rnacentral:rRNA from 1 species
GGCUAAUCUGCCCUUAGGACGAGAAUAACCCCGGGAAACUGGGGCUAACUCUCGAUAGGUGAAGAACUCUGGAAUGAGUCUUCACUCAAAAAGCUUCACGUUAUCCUCGUGAAGUCGCCUAAGGAUGAGGCCGCGGCCGAUCAGGUUGUUGGCGAGGUAACGGCUCACCAAGCCUUUUACCGGUGCGGGCCGUGAGAGCGGGAGCCCGGAGAUGGGUACUGAGACAAGGACCCAGGCCCUACGGGGCGCAGCAGUCGCGAAACCUUUGCAAUACACGAAAGUGUGACAGGGCUAUCCCGAGUGCCAUCCGCUGAGGAAGGCUUUUACCCAGUCUAGAUAGCUGGGGGAAUAAGGAGAGGGCAAGUCUGGUGUCAGCCGCCGCGGUAAUACCAGCUCUCCGAGUGGUGUGGAUGUUUAUUGGGCCUAAAGCAUCCGUAGCUGGCUAGGUCAGUCCCUUGUCAAAUCCACCGAAUUAAUCGUUGGAUCGCGGGGGAUACUGCUUGGCUAGGGGACGAGAGAGGCAGACGGUAUUUUCGGGGUAGGGGUGAAAUCCUAUAAUCCCGGGAAGACCACCAGUGGCGAAGGCUGUCUGCUAGAACGCGCCCGACGGUGAGGGAUGAAAGCUGGGGGAGCGAACCGGAUUAGAUACCCGGGUAGUCCCAGCUGUAAACGAUGCAGGCUAGGUGUUUGGACGGCCACGUGCCGUUCUAGUGCCGCAGGGAAGCUGUUAAGCCUGCCGCCUGGGGAGUACGAUCGCAAGAUUGAAACUUAA